rnacentral:rRNA from 1 species
GACAGAGGGUGCAAACGUUGUUCGGAAUUACUGGGCGUAAAGCGUGUGUAGGCGGCCGCGCAAGUCGGAUGUGAAAGCCCUGGGCUCAACUCAGGAAGUGCACCCGAUACUGCGUGGCUCGAGUACCGGAGAGGUUGGUGGAAUUCUCGGUGUAGAGGUGAAAUUCGUAGAUAUCGAGAGGAACACCUGCGGCGAAGGCGGGUAGCUGGGCCGACACUGACGCUGAGGCGCGAAAGCCAGGUAGCGAACGGG